AUUGAACGCUGGCGGCAUGCCUAACACAUGCAAGUCGAACGGCAGCGCGGGGGCAACCCUGGCGGCGAGUGGCGGACGGGUGAGGAAUGCAUCGGAAUCUGCCUGGUUGUGGGGGAUAACGUAGGGAAACUUACGCUAAUACCGCAUACGACCUACGGGUGAAAGUGGGGGACCGCAAGGCCUCACGCGAUCAGAGGAGCCGAUGUCGGAUUAGCUAGUUGCGGGUAAAGGCCCACCAAGGCGACGAUCCGUAGCUGGUCUGAGAGGAUGAUCAGCCACACUGGAACUGAGACACGGUCCAGACUCCUACGGGAGGCAGCAGUGGGGAAUAUUGGACAAUGGGCGCAAGCCUGAUCCAGCAAUGCCGCGUGUGUGAAGAAGGCCUUCGGUG
rnacentral:rRNA from 1 species